rnacentral:ncRNA from 1 species
ACAAUGAUACUUCUGUCCAGUCACAGACACAAGCAAUGAGGGCAGCUGUGUGAGAACCACACGGGGGUUAGAAUCCCAUGA